AAACGGUGAACAGCGGAUCUGCCAUACAGCCACAACUAUGAACUCAGUCACUGCCUUCAUUGCCUGCCUGCUUAUCCUAGGUGCACAAGGACAACCAGCCAGCAAAUCUAAUAAAUGCAAGUGUUACAGUUACAUUGGCAGGAUCAGCCCAAAGCUCAUCAAGGCUGAGCCAGUGAUACACUACCCAAGUAUCUUCUGUCCACAUACAGAAAUCAUUGUUACCACAAAAGCAGAUAUGAAGAGGUGUGUGAGUCCAGAGUCCCCACUUGGACGACACAUUCUAAAAAAUCGUACUUACUAAAACUUACUAAAAAAAGCAAGGGAGGAAUGGAGCUGUAAAGAUCACGACUGCUGGUCAGAGUACUGCUGCGAUUUAAACAAUACACUGCACAACCUACAAGCUGCACUCGUGACACAUGGUUGUUGAACUAGAAGAACUCACAGCAAAUACAAGACAGCCAAUAUUCUUUUUGGUUACUUUGCCAGUUUUGUUCCCAUGUGUGUGUAUGUCUAUAUAGUCUGGACUUGAACUUUUUUUACAUUUUUGUACAUAUGUUUU